CUUGACCUCGAAUCAGGUAGG
rnacentral:rRNA from 1 species